AGCAUGUGGUUUAAUUUGAUGCAACGCGAAGAACCUUACCUACUCUUGACAUCCUGCGAACUUGUGAGAGAUCACUUGGUGCCUUCGGGAGCGCAGAGACAGGUGCUGCAUGGCUGUCGUCAGCUCGUGUUGUGAAAUGUUGGGUUAAGUCCCGUAACGAGCGCAACCCUUGUCCUUAUUUGCCAGCGGGUAAUGCCGGGAACUCUAAGGAGACUGCCGGUGACAAACCGGAGGAAGGUGGGGACGACGUCAAGUCAUCAUGGCCCUUACGAGUAGGGCUACACACGUGCUACAAUGGCCGGUACAAAGGGUUGCGAGCUCGCGAGAGUCAGCUAAUCCCGAAAAGCCGGUCUCAGUCCGGAUCGGAGUCUGCAACUCGACUCCGUGAAGUCGGAAUCGCUAGUAAUCGUGAAUCAGAAUGUCACGGUGAAUACGUUCCCGGGCCUUGCACACACCGCCCGU
rnacentral:rRNA from 1 species